rnacentral:rRNA from 1 species
AUUUCCUACGGGACGCAGCAGUGGGGAAUAUUGCACAAUGGGGGGAACCCUGAUGCAGCGACGCCGCGUGGGUGAAGGAGUAUUUCGGUAUGUAAAGCCCUAUCAGCAGGGAAGAACAAUGACGGUACCUGACUAAGAAGCACCGGCUAAAUACGUGCCAGCAGCCGCGGUAAUACGUAUGGUACAAGCGUUAUCCGGAUUUACUGGGUGUAAAGGGAGCGCAGGCGGCGCGUUAAGCCUGGUGUGAAAGCCCGCGGCCCAACCGCGGGACUGCAUUGGGAACUACCGGGCUGGAGUGCCGGAGG